GGACCAGUAAGACACUCCCCGAGCUAGAAGGAGACUGUGGCGUCUACAGGAAUGGGAGAAGAAAAUUGUGGGGAAGUGAUGCAAGGAGCAAGCGCGUUGGAGUGUUCGGGUAAAAAUGGCUGAAUAUUUAGUUUCGAUAUUCGGGACUGAGAAGGACAAAUUGGGGCUGAGAAGGACAAAAGGGACCGGUGUUCCCGACUUCACAACAAACCGACUUUCAGCCAGACUAUAGUUCUGCUCAACUUGUACCGGAAUCCACAGAACACAGCCCAAACUGCAGAUGGAUCACACUGUCACGUGAGCGAUGUGGAGGUGCAAGAACACUAUGAUAACUUCUUUGAGGAGGUAUUCACAGAACUGCAGGAGAAGUAUGGAGAGAUUGAAGAGAUGAAUGUGUGUGACAACCUCGGGGACCACCUCGUGGGCAAUGUCUAUGUUAAGUUCCGGCGGGAGGAGGAUGCAGAGCGGGCUAUGGUGGAACUCAAUAACAGCUGGUUCAACGGGCAGGCUGUGCAUGCCGAGCUGUUUCCUGUCACUGACUUCCGAGAGUCAUGCUGCCGGCAGUAUGAGAUGGGGGAGUGCACCCGAGGUGGCUUCUGCAACUUUAUGCACCUACGACCCAUAUCCAGGAACUUGCGCCGGCAGCUCUAUGGACGAGGACCCAGGCAUAGGUCACCUCCAAGGUCCCACACAGGUCACCGUCCCCGAGAAAGGAACCGGCGUCGUUCCCCAGACCACCGGCAUGGUCGCUUCUGAGAUGGGUGCCCUUGCUCUUUAUUCAAGGGUAUAGAUGUUCCUGUCCAGCAUCCCUUCUCAAAGUGCCCUUCGCUUUCCAGUCCUGACAUCCCCAGGCUUCAGAGCUUCAUAAUAAAAUCUGUUCAACACAGGAACCUCCUCCUCCUCCUGUCCCUCCUCUAAUAAAGCUUAAGAAGUUUGUCAAC